rnacentral:tRNA from 1 species
GGAGAGGUGUCCGAGUGGUUUAAGGUGCGGAUCUCGAAAGUCUGUGAAGGGUAACACUUUCCGUGGGUUCGAAUCCCACCCUCUCCG